GAAAAGCCAAACCCUGCCUUUCCGUGUCCAACUUUGACUGUCCGUCUUAUAUGAAAUUUUUUUAUAAUUUGUAUUUUCAUUGCUGUUAGAUGAUAAAACAUGCUUAAUAUUUUAUGCGUGACUUGUCUUUUUAUUUUUUUUUCAUAAUUUUUUCAAAUAAGACGGACGGUCAAAUAUUGGGCACGAAAAUCAGGGUUUGUCUUUUU
rfam:Oryza sativa (indica cultivar-group) chromosome 10, whole genome shotgun sequence.